AUUGAACGCUGGCGGCAGGCCUAACACAUGCAAGUCGAGCGGAUGAAGGGAGCUUGCUCCUGGAUUCAGCGGCGGACGGGUGAGUAAUGCCUAGGAAUCUGCCUGGUAGUGGGGGAUAACGUCCGGAAACGGGCGCUAAUACCGCAUACGUCCUGAGGGAGAAAGUGGGGGAUCUUCGGACCUCACGCUAUCAGAUGAUCCGAGGUCGGAUUAGCUAGUUGGUGGGGUAAAGGCCUACCAAGGCGACGAUCCGUAACUGGUCUGAGAGGAUGAUCAGUCACACUGGAACUGAGACACGGUCCAGACUCCUACGGGAGGCAGCAGUGGGGAAUAUUGGACAAUGGGCGAAAGCCUGAUCCAGCCAUGCCGCGUGUGUGAAGAAGGUCUUCGGAUUGUAAAGCACUUUAAGUUGGGAGGAAAGGCAGUAAGUUAAUACCUUGCUGUUUUGACGGUACCAACAGAAUAAGCACCGGCUAACUUCGUG
rnacentral:rRNA from 1 species